AAAAACGUUUCGCGAUCGCUGACCUGCACCCGAGCCAGAGCGAACCCUACCCGAGCGAAUCAUCCCGAGCUUUUCCCUCAAGCCGCCGCCACAACUCAUCCCGCACGCCGCCACCGCCGCCGCCGCACCUCACCCCGCUCUGCUAUCCACUGCCGCCGCACCUCACCCCGCUGGCCAAGGUGCUUGAGGAAGCGACGGCUGCUGCGAGCAGAGCUUAGGGACGCCAUGGAGUUUCUGGGGCAGCCCAGUUCGGCGUGGGAGGGAGGCGCCCCGGCCGCAAGCUGAAGUGUAGUUGCGCUACAGUGUCCGUGGGAGUGUCAAGUGUGGCCUCUUCAUAUGGGUUAGGGGUAUGGCACACUCCUUGGAUUUUCUUCCUCCCCUCCCCUUUCCGCGUGGAUCAGUGGGUGGGUAGUUUGUGGAUGGCUAGAGGCAAAAUUGGGCAAUGGCUAUGAUUUGUCGUUCAUGUUAUUGUGGAUCCUAGAGCAAAGUUUAUCUUAUCCUCUGUAGUUAGUCGCCCACAUUGGAUAAUUUGACCAAAUUGCCUUGUCUGGAGAGGAUGUGUACAGGAACCUGCAGGAAAACUUCAGUCGGAGCAAGAGCCGGAGGUGCAUCUGCGCAAGGUUGAACUGUCCACGUAGAUCUUCUUCCUCUGCAGCUUGACAACUGCAGCAAGACUUUGCCUUGAGUAAGCAUGCUCAUGUACACGGCAAGAGGCAGUAUGUUUGUCAGGAGCCCGGCUGUGGGAAGGUACAUCCAACAAAAAGGGAAUACAUUUAACAUUACACCUUUACCAAUGGUAUUAACGUUAGAGAACCUUCCUGUUUACUAGCAUUGAUGGAUUUUCCAGUAAUUUUAGGCUCGUAUGUGAAAUGUUUAUAAAAGCAUUUUUCUUCAUCUUUCUAUCCACAAGGACCUUUCUCUGUUUGCAUAGUUAUUUACGGAUUUAAGGUUCCAUGAUUUGAAUACA